rnacentral:rRNA from 1 species
ACACAUGCAGUCGAGGGGCAGCACAAAGAUAGUUUACUAUUUUGGUGGCGACCGGCGCACGGGUGAGUAACGCGUAUGCAACCUACCUUAUACAGGAGUAUAGCCCGAAGAAAUUCGGAUUAAUCCUCCAUAGUAUUUUCUAAUGGCAUCAUUUGGAAAAUUAAAGCUUCGGCGGUAUAAGAUGGGCAUGCGUCCUAUUAGCUAGAUGGUAAGGUAACGGCUUACCAUGGCAACGAUAGGUAGGGGGCCUGAGAGGGUGAUCCCCCACACUGGUACUGAGACACGGACCAGACUCCUACGGGAGGCAGCAGUGAGGAAUAUUGGGCAAUGGAGGCAACUCUGACCCAGCCAUGCCGCGUGCAGGAAGAAUGCCCUAUGGGUUGUAAACUGCUUUUAUUUAGGAAUAAACCCUUCUACGUGUAGAAGGCUGAAUGUACUAAACGAAUAAGCACCGGCUAACUCCGUGCCAGCAGCCGCGGUAAUACGGAGGGUGCAAGCGUUAUCCGGAAUCAUUGGGUUUAAAGGGUCCGCAGGCGGACGUAUAAGUCAGUGGUGAAAUCCUGCAGCUUAACUGCAGAACUGCCAUUGAUACUGUACGUCUUGAAUUCGGUCGAAGUGGGCGGAAUGUGUAGUGUAGCGGUGAAAUGCAUAGAUAUUACACAGAACACCGAUAGCGAAGGCAGCUCACUAGGCCUGGAUUGACGCUCAGGGACGAAAGCGUGGGGAUCAAACAGGAUUAGAUACCCUGGUAGUCCACGCUGUAAACGAUGAUUACUCGUUUUCGGCGAUAUACAGUCGGAGACUAAGCGAAAGUGAUAAGUAAUCCACCUGGGGAGUACGAUCGCAAGGUUGAAACUCAAAGGAAUUGACGGGGGCCCGCACAAGCGGUGGAGCAUGUGGUUUAAUUCGAUGAUACGCGAGGAACCUUACCAGGGCUUAAAUGCAGAGCGAAUAGUUUGGAAACAGCUAGCCUUCGGGCGAUCUG